GUCCUCUUCCAGGAUUGGCUGCUCCCUCAUAAGCAUAAGAUAAUUAAAACGAAGGGGGGGAGGGUUAAAAAAACGUUUUUAUCAGGCAGAGGUUAAUGCAAGUGUUUAACAGAUGCUUCACUAUUAAAAUAUUUAUUCCCCCCCCCGUCUCAAAUAUUGAAGAAUCUCAAACCAGGCGCGGUUCUUAGGGAAGGACAGCUGAAACCAGUCCAUCCCCUUCCCCCCCGUGGGUCUUCACUUCCUCGGUCUACAUCUGCCCAUGACUUCAGCAAGGUCAACUUUAGAUUGGCCAAGAUGCCAUCUCAGAGCAAGAUCCCUCUGCAAAACCUUGGGCCAGCGUGACUGUGGUAGUUACGGCUCAGAGGAUUCAUUCUGCAUAAUUUAUGUUACCUGCUUCACUGAUGAAGGCAUUUGAGUUUCCUGAACUAAACAGAGAAGGAAAGGAUUAUCUUGUUUCCCCCAAACCAUGUCAAAUUUGGAUGAAGGAGAAAAGGAACAGAAACAAAUCAGAUGCCAAAGCAGAAUGAAUAGCCCAAAGUGCUUGGCUCUGAAUGGGUCUGUGAAGGCAGCAAUCUAACUCAUGUUCUUGUAGUCCAAAAGUGACAGGUGGGAGGCAUUAUUCCUCCAGCAACCAUCAAGACAAGAAGUGAGUCUGCUUCUACAGUGGAAAAAUUCUGGUGUCAAAACAGAGCGCUGUGCUAGAUGGGCGAUUUCUGCGUUGUUCACAAACACUCCGUGGCUUUGAACGAACAGCCUUGGCUUCUGUGAGCCUGGUGUUAUGGAAGGAGGGGGAAGCCACCAAACGACCAACAUCCUUUGGGACUCUUACAUUCUUUGAUUCAAAGAAACCAUGUUUUGGGUACAAUGAUUCGCUUUUUCUGGUAAUCUGACGUUCAGUUUUCCUUAUUUAACUUGCAAUGCUGUCAUUCCAAAGGGCUUCUUAGAGAUAGCUCCAAAAUUUGGAUUCUGUUUCCCAUUUUAAACAACCAUAGGCAAAUUUUUGGAGUUUUGCUUGGGGGGGAAAAGAAAAAAGCUAAACAUAUGAUUAGGCAAACUGUAAAGUUGUAGGAAGAUAGAGAGAUUAGACAUUUUUUUUUCUAGCAAAGGCAUUUAAGUGGUAAGAGGAGAGUGAAAGAAGAAAAAAAAAAGCACGAAGAAAGAAGUGGGGGAGGAAGAGGAAAUAGAAGUAGUGCAGCCCCUCCUGGCCUGCAGGUCUUUGAAGUAAGGCCAGACUGCAGCAGAGGAUUGUGGGAAAUGAGGUCAAGAGAAAAAAACAGCUGGAGGCCCUUUGUUCAGAGGUUAAUGGUUAUGUGUCAGAAGCUCUUUAUCAGAGGAAAAUACCCUGGGCAGUUCUAGAUACUUUUUAGAGGAACAAACUAAUUUUGUGGAAAUUUCCUAAAGUUUCUAUGAGAGAAGAGUUCUUCAAUUUAUAACCUAAAUGUAAAUGUAAUGUAUUUAAAUAAACACAUGCAGAUAUGAUACAUGUAUAGUAAUCAGAAGAUCUGUUUUAAUUAGAAAUGGCAACACACUGUGGAAGAGGUCUGGUGUUUCAUAUUUUCAAAACAAGGGUUGGGUGAAUGAAGCGCCGAUAGUGAUCUGAGGUGCCUUUUCAUUGCUCACCAGCAUCUGUGCUGUUUCCACAAGUUCAGCAAAUUAAUAGCCUUGUAAAUUAAAAAUAAGGACAAUGAUCUUUGCUCUUCUAAGACAGUCUGGUUCCUGAGGGAUUCCAGCCAAAGGUCAAGGCUAAGUAAAUGUGAGUUUGCUAAAGCAAAAUCUAUUUUUUUUUUCAGAUACCUUGGUGAGUGAGUGUGUAAAAUGAGCAGUUUGCUACAGAAACAUUAGGAAAGUUUGCAGAAGGUAUAGGAGGCAGGA